rnacentral:rRNA from 1 species
AUUGAACGCUGGCGGCAGGCUUAACACAUGCAAGUCGAGCGGGGAAGGGUAGCUUGCUACCUAACCUAGCGGCGGACGGGUGAGUAAUGCUUAGGAAUCUGCCAUUUAGUGGGGGACAACAUUCCGAAAGGAAUGCUAAUACCGCAUACGUCCUACGGGAGAAAGCAGGGGAUCUUCGGACCUUGCGCUAAAUGAUGAGCCUAAGUCGGAUUAGCUAGUUGGUGGGGUAAAGGCCUACCAAGGCGACGAUCUGUAGCGGGUCUGAGAGGAUGAUCCGCCACACUGGGACUGAGACACGGCCCAGACUCCUACGGGGGGCAGCAGUGGGGAAUAUUGGACAAUGGGCGGAAGCCUGAUCCAGCCAUGCCGCGUGUGUGAAGAAGGCCUUAUGGUUGUAAAGCACUUUAAGCGAGGAGGAGGCUACCAGUAUUAAUACUACUGGAUAGUGGACGUUACUCGCAGAAUAAGCACCGGCUAACUCUGUGCCAGCCGCCGCUGUAACAC